GACUUUAAGUAGAUUAGAGUGUGCUAGCUUGCUAGAAUUUAGAUACAGGUGCUGCACGGCUGUCGUCAGCUCGUGUCGUGAGAUGUUGGGUUAAGUCCCGCAACGAGCGCAACCCUCGUGUUUAGUUGCUAACAGUUCGGCUGAGAACUCUAAACAGACUGCCUACGCAAGUAGGAGGAAGGUGAGGACGACGUCAAGUCAUCAUGGCCCUUACGGCCAGGGCUACACACGUGCUACAAUGGGGUAUACAAAGAGCAGCGAUACGGUGACGUGGAGCAAAUCUAGAAAAUGCCUCUCAGUUCGGAUUGUAGUCUGCAACUCGACUACAUGAAGUUGGAAUCGCUAGUAAUCGUAGAUCAGCAAUGCUACGGUGAAUACGUUCCCGGGUCUU
rnacentral:rRNA from 1 species